rnacentral:rRNA from 1 species
GAUUAAGCCAUGCAUGUGUAAGUAUAAAUAAUUUUACUUUGAAACUGCGAAUGGCUCAUUAUAUCAGUUAUAGUUUAUUAGAAAUACUUUACUACUUGGAUAACCGUAGUAAUUCUAGGGCUAAUACAUGAAUAAAACCUCAACUUCGGAAGAGGUGUGUUUAUUAGUAUGAAAACCAUAUAUCUUCGGAUAUAAUAGUGAGUAAUAAUAACCUUUCAUAUCGUAUGUCGUAAGAUAACGAUAGUUCUUUCAAGUUUCUGCCCUAUCAGCUUUCGAUGGUAGUAUAUGGGACUACCAUG